GCAACACAUAAGAAACCUCUCCAAAGAAAAGAAAUUAAUCAUGAAGGUCAAGUGCACUUGUUGUGUGUGUCACUUGUUUUUACAUACCUCCUCCUUUUGCUUUUUUUUUGUUCCCACACAUAUAACUU
rnacentral:ribozyme from 16 species